GCCGGCGACCAUACCACGUUGAAAGCACCGGUUCUUGUCCGAUCACCGCAGUUAAGCAACGUCGGGUCCGGUCAAUACUUGCAUGGGUGACCGGCUGGGAAUACCGGGUAUCGUCGGCU
rfam:Schistosoma mansoni strain Puerto Rico chromosome 5, complete genome